CACCACUUAAGCCUGGCUUAGUGUUGGGCGACGUCCCCUUUAGGGACGCGCCUCGAAACGCUUGGCGGUGUGGUACUGGCUUUAAGCGUAGUAGAAUCUUUCGCUUUGGAAGUCGGGGCCCCAUCUGCUAAAAGACCUACUCGCAA
rnacentral:misc_RNA from 1 species